CCAGACUCCUACGGGAGGCAGCAGUGGGGAAUAUUGCACAAUGGGGGAAACCCUGAUGCAGCAACGCCGCGUGAAGGAAGACGGUUUUCGGAUUGUAAACUUCUGUUCUUAGUGAAGAAGAAUGACGGUAGCUAAGGAGCAAGCCACGGCUAACUACGUGCCAGCAGCCGCGGUAAUACGUAGGGGGCAAGCGUUAUCCGGAUUUACUGGGUGUAAAGGGAGCGUAGACGGCGAUGCAAGCCAGAUGUGAAAGCCCGGGGCUCAACCCCGGGACUGCAUUUGGAACUGUGUGGCUGGAGUGUCGGAGAGGCAGGCGGAAUUCCUAGUGUAGCGGUGAAAUGCGUAGAUAUCAGGAGGAACACCGGCGGCGAAGGCGGCCUGCUGGACCGUGACUGACGUUGAGGCUCGAGAGCGUGGGGAGCAAACAGGAUUAGAUACCCGAGUAA
rnacentral:rRNA from 1 species